rnacentral:rRNA from 1 species
AGAGUUUGAUUCUGGCUCAGAACGAACGCUGGCGGCGCGUCUUAAACAUGCAAGUCGAACGAGAACCCCGGUGCUUGCAUUGGGGGGAAAGUGGCGAACGGGUGAGUAACACGUGGAUAAUCUGCCUUCAGGAUGGGGAUAACCACCCGAAAGGGUGGCUAAUACCGAAUAAGAUGGUAGUCACACAGGUGACAGCUAUUAAAGGUGGGGACCGCAAGGCCUACCGCCUGAAGAUGAGUCCGCGGCCCAUUAGCUUGUUGGCAGGGUAAAAGCCUACCAAGGCUAUGAUGGGUAGCCGGCCUGAGAGGGUGAUCGGCCACACUGGGACUGAGAUACGGCCCAGACUCCUACGGGAGGCAGCAGUUAAGAAUCUUGCGCAAUGGGCGAAAGCCUGACGCAGCGACGCCGCGUGGAUGAUGAAGGUCUUCGGAUUGUAAAAUCCAAUAGGCAGGGAAGAAUAAGCAACGGGUAAUAUUCGUUGUGAUGACUGUACCUGCAUAAAGCCCCGGCUAAUUACGUGCCAGCAGCCGCGGUAAUACGUAUGGGGCGAGCGUUGUUCGGAAUUAUUGGGCGUAAAGGGCGUCUAGGCGGGGGAUUAAGUUAGAUGUGAAAGCUAUGGGCUCAACCCAUAAAUUGCAUCUAAGACUGGUUCUCUUGAGUUCGGGAGAGGAGAGCGGAAUUCCAGGUGUAGCGGUGAAAUGCGUAGAUAUCUGGAAGAACACCAGUGGCGAAGGCGGCUCUCUGGCCUAGAACUGACGCUGAAGCGCGAAAGCGUGGGGAGCGAACAGGAUUAGAUACCCUGGUAGUCCACGCUGUAAACGAUGUGCACUAGGUGUUGGUACGGAUGUAUCAGUGCCGUAGCUAACGUGAUAAGUGCACCGCCU